rnacentral:rRNA from 1 species
AUUGAACGCUGGCGGCAUGCCUUACACAUGCAAGUCGAACGGUAACAGGUCUUCGGAUGCUGAUGAGUGGCGAACGGGUGAGUAAUACAUCGGAACGUGCCUAGUAGUGGGGGAUAACUACUCGAAAGAGUGGCUAAUACCGCAUGAGAUCUACGGAUGAAAGCAGGGGAUCGCAAGACCUUGUGCUACUAGAGCGGCCGAUGGCAGAUUAGGUAGUUGGUGGGAUAAAAGCUUACCAAGCCGACGAUCUGUAGCUGGUCUGAGAGGACGAUCAGCCACACUGGGACUGAGACACGGCCCAGACUCCUACGGGAGGCCGCAGUGGGGAAUUUUGGACAAUGGGCGAAAGCCUGAUCCAGCAAUGCCGCGUGCAGGAUGAAGGCCUUCGGGUUGUAAACUGCUUUUGUACGGAACGAAAAGCCCUGGGUUAAUACCCUGGGGUCAUGACGGUACCGUAAGAAUAAGCACCGGCUAACUACGUGCCAGCCGCCGCCGUAA